rnacentral:lncRNA from 1 species
GCCUGCUGCUGUUCACAGAGCAAAUGAUGGUUGAACUCCUGGCCGGCGAAAUUUCAUUUAUUUGUUCUGAAAAUAUUUAAUGAUGUCAUUUUAUCUCUUAAGAUCCAAAUCAAAUAGAAAAUGUAAAACAAUAAACACAAGGUGUCAGGUGUCUGGCUUAUACAAUCCUUUUAAGAAAUGGUCCACAAACAGUGCAUCCGAAUUAGUUGGUGAUACUUUUAAAAACAAUGAAGUUUAUGGAGCCACACCCAAGAUCUGUUUAAAUCAGAAAGGUUAGGAGUAAAGCCUAGGAAUCUACAUUUGUGACAUGCUCUAUAAGUGAUUCUUAUAUACACCAAACUUUGAAAAUAACUUUUUUGGAUGACCCCAGAUGGACAAGAUCAUAUCCUGCUCUGGGGGCCAAAUUAAGUCAUUUUUAGCUGCAUUUUGAAGGAUGGGUAGGACUUGAGGAUGAGAAUUGGAAGGAAGGGGCAUUCUUUUUGGAAAUAAUGACAUGAAUGGAAACAUAGAAGCAGAAGAACAAAUUGUAUUUAGCGAAUGGUGAGGAGACCAGUGUUGUUGGAGACAAGCUAUAAUGAAGGGGAAGAGCAAAAAGAAAAAUGAAGAAGCACGUAGGAGUGACAUUGCGAUUGACUGUCCCACUAGAAAGCAUCUGCUUCCCAUACAACAAAUAAAUAGAAGGUCCUCCAAGUAUAGGUGACCUAAGCAAAUAUAGUAAAUGUUACAGGUUCAAAGAUGGUGGAGGGGUGAGAAUGGGGGGUUCUGUAGAGCAGGCACUCCUCUAUUUUCAAU